rnacentral:rRNA from 1 species
CCUACGGGAGGCAGCAGUAGGGAAUAUUGCUCAAUGGGGGAAACCCUGAAGCAGCAACGCCGCGUGGAGGAUGAAGGUUUUCGGAUUGUAAACUCCUUUUGUUAGAGAAGAAAAUGACGGUAUCUAACGAAUAAGCACCGGCUAACUCCGUGCCAGCAGCCGCGGUAAUACGGCGGGUGCAAGCGUUACUCGGAAUCACUGGGCGUAAAGAGCGCGUAGGCGGGAUAGCAAGUCAGAUGUGAAAUCCUAUGGCUUAACCAUAGAACUGCAUUUGAAACUGGUAUUCUAGAGUAUGGGAGAGGUAGGUGGAAUUCUUGGUGUAGGGGUAAAAUCCGUAGAGAUCAAGAGGAAUACUGAUUGCGAAGGCGACCUGCUAGAACAUAACUGACGCUGAUGCGCGAAAGCGUGGGGAGCGAACAGGAUUAGAUACCCUUGUAGUC